AUUGAACGCUGGCGGCAGGCCUAACACAUGCAAGUCGAACGAGAGGCGGACGGGUGAGUAAUGUCUGGGAAACUGCCUGAUGGAGGGGGAUAACUACUGGAAACGGUAGCUAAUACCGCAUACCAUCAGAUGUGCCCAGAUGGGAUUAGCUAGUAGGUGGGGUAAUGGCUCACCAAGGCGACGAUCCCUAGAGGGUCUGAGAGGAUGACCAGCCACAAUGGAACUGAGACACGGCCCAGAUUCCUACGGGAGGCAGUAGUGGGGAAUAUUGCACAAUGGGCGCAAGCCUGAUGAAGCCAUGCCGCGGGUGUGAAGAAGGCCUUCGGGUUGUAAAGCACUUUCAGCGUGGAGGCGUUACUCGCAGAAGAAGCACCGGCUAACUCCGUGCCAGCAGCCGCGGUAAUUC
rnacentral:rRNA from 1 species